rnacentral:tRNA from 1 species
GGGGCCGUAGCCUAGCAAGGUAUGGCGGCUGGCUCCAGACCAGCAGGUCGGGGGUUCAAGUCCCUCCGGCCCCA